GAGAAUCUCCUUUCAACCUGGCCUAUGAGACGAAGGCAAUGAUCCCACUAGAGAUCGGGCUACCAUCGACUAGAGUUGAGCAAUACUGUGAACCGAGCAACUCCGAGUGUCGGAGAGCUGACUUGGACCUCUACCCGAGCUCCGACACGAGGCUCAACUCCGCAUGGCUUCCUACCGACAAAGAGUGGCCCGAUAUUACAACGCUAAAGUUAGGCCAAAAUCUUUCAAACCCGGAGACCUGGU
rnacentral:lncRNA from 1 species